CCGGUAGCCCAAUGACAACAGUCGGGUCUGCAGCUGCCAUUUUCCAUUGGGAAAGAGAAAUAGCCCUAUUUUUACCAGAAAAGGUAGCUCAUCCACUAUGGCAGAAGAUGAAGAUUCAGACUGUUGAUUGGGAAACAAGAACAAAGGCAUGUUGAGGGACCACUUGCCACGUUGUCCAAGUUGGGUUUGUGUUAUGAUAAACAAUGCAUUUUCUGUCCUGAUAAAGAUGAUGAUACAGCAUUGAAAAAGACCUACCAGUGCAUCCCUCAGACCAUUCGGUGCAUGGAUAUCCUGUGCCAGUGUGAUGACAUCCUGUACCAGUGUGAUCUGAGCGCAAGCGUCCAGUUGUAGAGACUACAGCAGAUCGAGCCUGUGGACAGACAGUCUAACAGGAGUGUAUCCUUCAGACCAUUCGGUGCAUGGACAUCUUAGGCCAGUGUGAAUGAGCACAAGCGUCCAGUGAUACUAGGCGGUGUCGGAGGAAGGCCCAAAAAUUGUCAGAGACUCCAGUCACCCAAGUCAUAGACUGUUCCCUUAGGUAACGCACGGCAAGCGGUACCAGAGUGCCAAGUCGAGGUCCAAAAGGCUCCUACCCCCAAGCCAUAAGACUGCUGAACAAUUCAUCAAAUGGCCACCCAGCGCAUGUGACAAACAGAAUUUUAUUCGAUUUUUUAUUUGAUUUGGAGACUACAGCACAUCGAGCCUGUGGACGGACAGACAUGAGGCGUGACAUACGGAACAUCAGACUCACCCCACGAGAAGCAGUGCAUGAUCAAUGACACCCUCAGCAGGGAGAUCUGCUGGUGGUGAUGUACUGUACUCUCUCACUCUGGUGAUAAGACAUAAUUUAAACAUCCCAGAUAUAAAUUCCCAAUGUACCCAUGAUAAAAUACAAUGUGAAUUCAGACCAGCCUUUGUGAUUGAAUUUACAUUAACUAAAUUACUUUAGUUGGCUGCUUUGAGCAAAACUUAAAUGUAAUAUAACCUAUUCUAGGAGCCUAUUGUUUGUAUGAUCUUUAUAUCUUGUUCACUUGUUUUUCAACAAUGUCAUGUACAGGCAGGGAUGACUGGGGCCUUCAGCAAGUAAGACACAGGUGUAAGAUAUAAUUUGAACGUCACAGAUUUAAAUUCCCACUGUGCCCAUGAUAAAGUUAACCACAUUUCUUUAGUUAGCUCUUUUGAACAAAACUUGUUUGCAGUGGUGAUUUUAGGAUGUAAAUCUUGGUGGGGCAAGCUCACACUGGCCUAAGAUGUCCAUGCACUGGACGGUCUGAAGGAUGCACUCCUGUUAGACUGGAAAACAAAGAGACAUUUGGUCAGUGGUAGGUCUUUUUUUAUAUGCAUGCCAGUAAAGCCAUUACACAACACAACACUAAACAAUGCAUUAAUUGGACUAUAACUGUGACAAACAGUGCCCACAAACUUUGAUGGCCUGCAUAAAGCUGUCCUAACAUAGCAGUCCCAAAACCUUACAACCACUACACAUGGCUGUCAGCGGAGCCUUGUCUGGCAGCAAAACACUUAACUCAGCCUCAUUUACUGCCUUUAAAAAAAAUAGCUGAUAUGGCUGACUUGCUUUAAAAUGUUUUGGUUUCUACUGACAAUUGAGAUGUACAAACAUUCGACGAUGACAUUUCUCUAAAACAGGCUAUAGGCUACAUGUGCACCACCAAGUCAAAACAGUAUGCUAAGUUAUGAAGGGAAAAGGGACCAAAUUAAUAGGGUGAGGCACAUGGGCUACUAACAGCUUACUACACAAGAUACACUUAGUGUUAAUCUUAGCUACAGUAUACAUAUCUCCCUGGCAUAUUACCUCAUUUAUGCAGCAGCAUACAAUUUUUGGAGUCAACUUGUUGUUCUCACUUGAAGAGGAAGGUGGAACGGCCUUCCUUUGUGGGCAAAUUUUGUCAUCAAACUUGGUCAUUCUCUGGAUUUAUGGUGCUUUCAAUACAACUGGAAACUCAUGACGUUAGUGAUCUUCAGGUUGGAGCUCUAGAAAGAGGCCUGAGUUCCCGACUUGGAAUUCUGAGUUGGAUGACCAUUCAAAACAUAUUUUCCCAGUUGGAGCUCGUUUUUUUCAGAGUUUCCAGUUGUCUUGAACUCAUUGAAGUCUGAGAUUUCCCAGUUCCGAGUUUCCAGUUGUUUUGAACGCAGCAGAGGUCAUGCUGGAUUGACAGCAUGGCCAAUGUUGAAUGUUUAGCCUUUUAAGCUUGGAAAAGAGACCCUUAAACCCAGACUUGGACCACACAACCACUCCACUGAAUAGCAGGCUAGUGAUUGCUUUGCAAUGCUUGCAGUUAGCCACUAAUUCCUUCCAAACUGCUCAUUGUUGAAUUUGCAAUUUCCAACUUGUUGUGUAAUGUUUAUAUCCAAUGGCCGACGAGCACCAAAACAUUUUAUCUAUAAUUUAUCUUUUUAAUUUAACUUCAAAUGACAAGGAUUGAAAAGGAUUUGCCAGUAGAUUGUUUACUUGAUUCAUGAUGACUGCUAGCUUGCUAGCUAAGAUUUUGAAAGUAUGAUGUUGACAUCAGUCCAAUCAAAGCUACUGUAGAUAUUGACGUCAUUUUGUCUGUGGCCAAUGACCUUGAGCCUUCUUGGAUGGGCACUUCUAAUGUAACUCUAUGGUAGCACCCAAUGGGCUUGGCUUUCUAGCUCUCCCUUUAGAUUUUGCGGUGACGUAGUGUCCCCAUGAGUGAGAAAACACUGAGCCAAUCAUGGCACAACUAGAAAACAUUACCAACCCCUACGCUCCGUAUUUUCUGCUGGCUCCCCCACAACCACAGAAAGCAAUGAGUUAGGCUGAAACGCCUGCAUUUUGGAACUGCCUUACACAAGAAAGCAAAAAAGAGACCAUGUUUGUUUGUGGCUUUAUUAACUCAAUUAUCAUUUUUUUCAUACUGAUAUGUGACACGUAUUAAUGCCAAAAUAACAUUCAAAACAGACAACAAAAAACAUUAGCUCAGCAAAAAAAGAAACGUCCCCUUUUCAGGACCCUGUCUUUCAAUGUUAAUUCGUAAAAAUCCAAAUAACUUCACAGAUAUUCAUUGUAAAGGGUUUAAACACUGUUUCCCAUGUUUGUUUAAUAAACCAUAAACAAUUAAUGAACAUGUACCUGUGGAACGGUCAUUAAGACACUAACAGCUUACAGACAGUAGGCAAUUAAGGUCACAGUUAUGAAAACUUAGGACACUAAAGAGGCCUUUCUACUGACUCUGAAAAACACCAAAAGAAAGAUGCCAAGGGUCCCUGCUCAUCUGCGUAAACGUGCCUUAGACAUGCUGCAAGGAGGCAUGAGGACUGCAGAUGUGGCCAGGGCAAUAAAUUGCAAUGUCCGUACUGUGAGACAGCGCUACAGAGAGACAGGACGGACAGCUGAUCGUCCUCGCAGUGGCAGACCACAUGUAAAAACACCUGGACAGGAUCAGUACAUCCAAACACAACUGCCCGAGUUACACCAGGAACGCACAAUCCCUCCAGCAGUGCUCAGACUGUCCGAAAUAGGCUGAGAGAGGCUGGACUGAGGGCUUGUAGGCCUGUUGUAAGGCAGGUCCUCACCAGACAUCACCGGCAACAACGUUGCCUAUGGGCACAAACCCAUCGUCGCUGGACCUGACAGGACUGGCGAAAAAUGCUCUUCACUGACGAGUCGCGGUUUUGUCUCACCAGGGGUGAUGGUCGGAUUCGUGUUUAUCGUCGAAGGAAUGAGCGUUACACCGAGGCCUGUACUCUGGAGCGGAAUCGAUUUGGAGGUGGAGUGUCCAUCAUGGUCUGGGGCAGUGUGUCACGGCAUCAUCGGACUGAGCUUGUUGUCAUUGCAAGCAAUCUCAACACUGUGCGUUACAGGGAAUGCCAAAAGUGUGCAAAGCUGUCAUCAAGGCAAAGGUUGGCUACUGAAGAAUCUCAAAUAUAAAAUAUAUAUUGAUAUGUUCAACACUUUUUUGGUAACUACAUGAUUCCAUAUGUGUUAUUUCAUAGUUUUGAUGUCUUCAUUAUUAUUCUACA